AUGGGUGUGGCUUGGGGAGCUCCACACGCAUCAAGCGACGAUGAGUGCAUCCAACGCCACCAUGCUGCUGGUCCGGGGGAACAAGGUAAAAGAAGGAAGAGAACAUUGGAGAAAAAGGCUUUGGAAGGUACUAUGCGCCCCGUUCAAGGUUUACAGAAUUUGCACCAUCCUAUUACAGUUUGUUUUGAUGACAUAAUUGACCAGUUCUUCCUUGAGUAA
rnacentral:rRNA from 1 species